UACGGAGGGGCGAGCGUUAUUCGGAAUUAUUGGGCGUAAAGGGCGCGUAGGCGGCUUGGUAAGUCAAAGGUGAAAUCCCUCGGCUCAACCGAGGAAUUGCCUUGAAACUGCCUGGCUUGAGGCCGGGAGGGGUAGCGGAAUUCCCAGCGUAGCGGUGAAAUGCGUAGAUACUGGGAGGAACACCGGUGGCGAAGGCGGCUACCUGGACCGGUUCUGACACUCAGGAGCGAAGCGUGGGAGCGAUCCGG
rnacentral:rRNA from 1 species